CUAAUUUAAAUGUAUAUUUUUUAGACUGCUGAUGCUGGAGAUGACGUCGUAAACAAAUUAUCACUUGUGCUCAACACUAUACCUCUCAUAUCAAACAUUUUUUCAUUUUUCAUGGCUUCUGUCGGAAGUCUUUUGGUUCUAGCAGCAUUUAUACUUUCACUCCUGUAUGCAUUAGGAAAGAUUCAAGACCGGCCAAGAAAAUUAAGCAAAGAAAUUUUAAUAGGAGAAGAGAAAUAAUAGUCUAGAAAUGAGAAAAAGCCAUCGUACUUAGAAGUGUCUACGGCAAAAUGAACAUUAUGAUCUAAUGCUAAAAUGAGUUAAAAGCAAAGUACCUGAAAACUAUGAAACUUUUUGUGUUUGUUUAUAAUAUUUUGUUUAAAAAAUUAAUAAAAUACAAUUUAUAUUUUA